GGAGCGUUGAAAAACAAUAACGUUCACAGUAAGGUCAACGGUGAGGAAAACGAUGUGUUUACGUUUCAAAGAUAGAGACGCGAACCAUAACAGAUAAAAACGAUGUCGCGCGAUGAAGGUAGUUAGUUGCUGUUGAACGCCCGAGAUAGACGUGCCAUCGCCACUCGCGCAGAAAGUUGGUUUGUGAAUCGGGAAGCCGGGAGAGAAAAUCCGGGACACGAGAGACGAUACAUCUCUAUAAGUCAUCAAUACCAACACAAUCAACAAAACCAGCAGAGUAAACUGCCGUCAACGGCCAAUCAUCGUUAUACGACAACAAAGCCAGCGCAUCAAAACAAUCGACGACGGUCCAAACAUUCCGAAGAUCUGCUGGAGUUUGCGGCCACGCGAAAGCUGCGGUUACCGGGACGCAAUUUCGACGGACGCCGAUGCCGCACCGGAGGAUCCGGUUCGGGCCGAGCAGAGUC